rnacentral:lncRNA from 1 species
UCCAUUUACCUUUCCCACCAGAAAUAAAAACAAACCCGUAGGCGCAAACUGUGGCCGCCCACCAAAACGUGCAAGUUGCCUCCCUGGUAGAAACAACAAACCCCCUAUUCGUACAUGCAAGAUUUAUGAAAAAUGCCGCGCCGGGUAACACCCUCCAAUUUCAGAGCCUGAUCGAUGAUCAUUCAACUGUACGAAUAUAUAAUCCAUGAAUACGUGUAUUUUU